GCGGACGUAACUCAGCGGUAGAGUUCCUGCCUUCCAAGCAGGAUGUCGUGGGUUCGAAUCCCAUCGUCCGCUCCA
rnacentral:tRNA from 1 species